AUUGAACGCUGGCGGCAGGCCUAACACAUGCAAGUCGAGCGGAGCGGCGGACGGGUGAGUAAUGCCUAGGAAUCUGCCUGGUAGUGGGGGAUACAGUCCGGAAAGGGGCGCUAAUACAGCAUACUAUCAAAGGAGCCUAGGUCGGAUUAGCUAGUGGGUGGGGUAAAGGCUUACCAAGGCGACGAUCCGUACCUGGUCUGAGAGGAUGAUCAGUCACACUGGAACUGAGACACGGUCCAGACUCCUACGGGAGGCAGCAGUGGGGAAGAUUGGACAAUGGGCGAAAGCCUGAUCCAGCCAUGCCGCGUGUGUGAAGAAGGUCUUCGGAUUGUAAAGCACUUUAAGUUGGGAGGCGUUACCAACAGAAUAAGCACCGGCUAACUUCGUGCCAGCAGCCGCGGUAAUUC
rnacentral:rRNA from 1 species